rnacentral:rRNA from 1 species
ACGGGGUGCAGCAGGCGCGAAAACUUUACAAUGCUGGCAACAGCGAUAAGGGAACCUCGAGUGCCAGGUUACAAAUCUGGCUGUCGAGAUGCCUAAAAAGCAUUUCAUAGCAAGGGCCGGGCAAGACCGGUGCCAGCCGCCGCGGUAACACCGGCGGCUCGAGUGGUAACCGUUAUUAUUGGGUCUAAAGGGUCUGUAGCCGGCCGGAUAAGUCUCUUGAGAAAUCUGGCAGCUUAACUGUCAGGCUUUCAGGAGAUACUGUCUGGCUCGAGGCCGGGAGAGGUGAGAGGUACUUCAGGGGUAGGGGUGAAAUCUUGUAAUCCUUGAAGGACCACCAGUGGCGAAGGCGUCUGACCAGAACGGACCUGACGGCAAGGGACGAAAGCUAGGGGCACGAACCGGAUUAGAUACCCGGGUAGUCCUAGCCGUAAACGAUACUCGCUAGGUGUCGGCCACGGUGCGACCGUUGUCGGUGCCGUAGGGAAGCCGUGAAGCGAGCCGCCUGGGAAGUACGGCCGCAAGGCUGAAACUUAAAGGAAUUGGCGGGGGAGCAC